rnacentral:rRNA from 1 species
GACGAACGCUGGCGGCGUGCUUAACACAUGCAAGUCGAGCGGAAAGGCCACUUCGGUGGUACUCGAGCGGCGAACGGGUGAGUAACACGUGAGUAAUCUGCCCUUGGCUUUGGGAUAGCCACCGGAAACGGUGAUUAAUACCGGAUACGACCACUUCUCGCAUGGGAUGGUGGUGGAAAGUUUUUUCGGCCAGGGAUGUGCUCGCGGCCUAUCAGCUUGAUGGUGAGGUAAUGGCUCACCAUGGCUUCGACGGGUAGCCGGCCUGAGAGGGUGAUCGGUCACACUGGGACUGAGACACGGCCCAGACUCCUACGGGAGGCAGCAGUGGGGAAUAUUGGACAAUGGGCGGAAGCCUGAUCCAGCAACGCCGCGUGAGGGAUGACGGCCUUCGGGUUGUAAACCUCUUUCAGCAGGGACGAAGCGCAAGUGACGGUACCUGCAGAAGAAGCACCGGCCAACUACGUGCCAGCCGCCGCCGUAACAC